rnacentral:lncRNA from 1 species
AAAGUCCUUGUGAGCUCUCUGUGGACUAGGCACCCUGUCAUGUAUGUGAAAGUCCUGUGUGAGCUCCUCUGGGGGAGCCGGGCACCGACAGAGGGAUUUUUGAGGUCAUGUCUGAUCCUUGAGAGUAAAGGAUGCUAGCAAAUAAAGGAACUCUCAAAAACACUCCGUGGGGAAUAGUUAGCUGCAUGAGCCCCGAGACGGACCAGAGACAGUUAUGUGAUUUCUUUGUGAUAUGACGCAUUUCAUGAGAGCAUGUAAUUAAUGAACUGUUUUCUAUGUUUCUACUC